AUUUAAGUAGUUUAUAAAAAAUAUUGGUUUGUGGAGCCAAAGAUAUAUUUUUAUAUCUUAAAUU
rnacentral:tRNA from 1 species